rnacentral:rRNA from 1 species
UACGAAGGGUGCAAGCGUUACUCGGAAUUACUGGGCGUAAAGCGUGCGUAGGCGGUGAGUUAAGUCUGAUGUGAAAUCCCCGGGCUCAACCUGGGAAUGGCAUUGGAUACUGGCUCGCUAGAGUACGGUAGAGGGUGGUGGAAUUUCCGGUGUAGCGGUGAAAUGCGUAGAUAUCGGAAGGAACACCAGUGGCGAAGGCGACUACCUGGUUCGAUACUGACACUGAGGCGCGAAAGCGUGGGGAGCAAACAGG